GCGCCAGUAGUCUAGCCUGGUAGGACUCGACCUUCCCAAGGUUGAAGCCUGGGUUCAAAUCCCAGCUGGCGCA
rnacentral:tRNA from 1 species